rnacentral:rRNA from 1 species
CCUACGGGAGGCAGCAGUGGGGAAUAUUGCACAAUGGGGGAAACCCUGAAGCAGCGACGCCGCGUGAAUGAAGAAGUAAUUCGUUAUGUAAAGCUCUAUUUGUAGGGAAGAAAAUGACGGUACCUGAGUAAUAAGCCCCGGCUAACUACGUGCCAGCAGCCGCGGUAAUACGGAGGGGGCAAGCGUUAUCCGGAUUUACUGGGUGUAAAGGGAGCGUAGACGGGAUUGCAAGUCUGGAGUGAAAGGCUGGGGCUCAACCGUCGAACUGCAGUGGAAACUGUGCGGCUUGAGUGCAGGGGAGGUAGGUGGAAUUCGUGGUGUAGCGGUGAAAUGCGUAGAUAUGAAGAGGAACACUGAUUGCGAAGGCGGCUUACUGGAGUGUAACUGACGUUGAGGCGCGAAGGUGUGGGGAGCGAACAGGAUUAGAUACCCGGGUAGUC